UCCCUGGAGGACUAGUGGUUAGGCCUCGGCGCUCUAAACCGCUGCGGCCCAGGUUCGAUUCUCAGCCAGGGAA
rnacentral:tRNA from 1 species